rnacentral:rRNA from 1 species
UAUGAUGGGCGUGCUUACCAUGCAGUCGAACGGUGAGCAGAGCUUGCUCUGUGGAUCAGUGGCGAACGGGUGAGUAACACGUGAGCAACCUGCCCCUGACUCUGGGAUAAGCGCUGGAAACGGCGUCUAAUACUGGAUAUGAGCUGCGACCGCAUGGUCAGCAGUUGGAAAGAUUUUUCGGUCUGGGAUGGGCUCACGGCCUAUCAGCUUGUUGGUGAGGUAAUGGCUCACCAAGGCGUCGACGGGUAGCCGGCCUGAGAGGGUGACCGGCCACACUGGGACUGAGACACGGCCCAGACUCCUACGGGAGGCAGCAGUGGGGAAUAUUGCACAAUGGGCGAAAGCCUGAUGCAGCAACGCCGCGUGAGGGAUGACGGCCUUCGGGUUGUAAACCUCUUUUAGCAGGGAAGAAGCGAAAGUGACGGUACCUGCAGAAAAAGCGCCGGCUAACUACGUGCCAGCAGCCGCGGUAAUACGUAGGGCGCAAGCGUUAUCCGGAAUUAUUGGGCGUAAAGAGCUCGUAGGCGGUUUGUCGCGUCUGCUGUGAAAUCCCGAGGCUCAACCUCGGGUCUGCAGUGGGUACGGGCAGACUAGAGUGCGGUAGGGGAGAUUGGAAUUCCUGGUGUAGCGGUGGAAUGCGCAGAUAUCAGGAGGAACACCGAUGGCGAAGGCAGAUCUCUGGGCCGUUACUGACGCUGAGGAGCGAAAGGGUGGGGAGCAAACAGGCUUAGAUACCCUGGUAGUCCACCCCGUAAACGUUGGGAACUAGUUGUGGGGUCCAUUCCACGGAUUCCGUGACGCAGCUAACGCAUUAAGUUCCCCGCCUGGGGAGUACGGCCGCAAGGCUAAAACUCAAAGGAAUUGACGGGGACCCGCACAAGCGGCGGAGCAUGCGGAUUAAUUCGAUGCAACGCGAAGAACCUUACCAAGGCUUGACAUAUACGAGAACGGGCCAGAAAUGGUCAACUCUUUGGACACUCGUAAACAGGUGGUGCAUGGUUGUCGUCAGCUCGUGUCGUGAGAUGUUGGGUUAAGUCCCGCAACGAGCGCAACCCUCGUUCUAUGUUGCCAGCACGUAAUGGUGGGAACUCAUGGGAUACUGCCGGGGUCAACUCGGAGGAAGGUGGGGAUGACGUCAAAUCAUCAUGCCCCUUAUGUCUUGGGCUUCACGCAUGCUACAAUGGCCGGUACAAAGGGCUGCAAUACCGUGAGGUGGAGCGAAUCCCAAAAAGCCGGUCCCAGUUCGGAUUGAGGUCUGCAACUCGACCUCAUGAAGUCGGAGUCGCUAGUAAUCGCAGAUCAGCAACGCUGCGGUGAAUACGUUCCCGGGUCUUGUACACACCGCCCGUCAAGUCAUGAAAGUCGGUAACACCUGAAGCCGGUGGCCCAACCCUUGUGGAGGGAGCCGUCGAAGGUGUAGUAUU